UACGGAGGGUCCAAGCGUUAUCCGGAUUCAUUGGGUUUAAAGGGUGCGUAGGCGGGAUGCUAAGUCAGUGGUGAAAUCUCACAGCUCAACUGUGAAACUGCCAUUGAUACUGGUAACCUAGAGUAUGAUUGAAGUGGACGGAAUAUGGCAUGUAGCGGUGAAAUGCAUAGAGAUGCCAUAGAACACCGAUAGCGAAGGCAGUUCACUAAGUCAUAACUGACGCUGAUGCACGAAAGCGUGGGUAGCGAACAGG
rnacentral:rRNA from 1 species